CUUUUUUUUUUUUUUUUUUUUUUUUUUUUUUUUUUUUUUUUUUUUUCCU
rnacentral:ribozyme from 1 species